GCAGUCGAGCGAACAGACAGGAGCUUGCUCCUUUGACGUUAGCGGCGGACGGGUGAGUAACACGUGGGUAACCUACCUAUAAGACUGGGAUAACUUCGGGAAACCGGAGCUAAUACCGGAUAAUAUUUCGAACCGCAGGUUCGAUAGUGAAAGAUGGUUUUGCUAUCACUUAUAGAUGGACCCGCGCCGUAUUAGCUAGUUGGUAAGGUAACGGCUUACCAAGGCGACGAUACGUAGCCGACCUGAGAGGGUGAUCGGCCACACUGGAACUGAGACACGGUCCAGACUCCUACGGGAGGCAGCAGUAGGGAAUCUUCCGCAAUGGGCGAAAGCCUGACGGAGCAACGCCGCGUGAGUGAUGAAGGUCUUCGGAUCGUAAAACUCUGUUAUUAGGGAAGAACAUACGUGUAAGUAACUAUGCACGUCUUGACGGUACCUAAUCAGAAAGCCACGGCUAACUACGUGCCAGCAGCCGCGGUAAUACGUAGGUGGCAAGCGUUAUCCGGAAUUAUUGGGCGUAAAGCGCGCGUAGGCGGUUUUUUAAGUCUGAUGUGAAAGCCCACGGCUCAACCGUGGAGGGUCAUUGGAAACUGGAAAACUUGAGUGCAGAAGAGGAAAGUGGAAUUCCAUGUGUAGCGGUGAAAUGCGCAGAGAUAUGGAGGAACACCAGUGGCGAAGGCGACUUUCUGGUCUGUAACUGACGCUGAUGUGCGAAAGCGUGGGGAUCAAACAGGAUUAGAUACCCUGGUAGUCCACGCCGUAAACGAUGAGUGCUAAG
rnacentral:rRNA from 1 species